rnacentral:rRNA from 1 species
GCAGUAGCCGCGGUAAUACGUAGGUGGCAAGCGUUGUCCGGAAUUAUUGGGCGUAAAGGGCUCGCAGGCGGUUUCUUAAGUCUGAUGUGAAAGCCCCCGGCUCAACCGGGGAGGGUCAUUGGAAACUGGGAAACUUGAGUGCAGAAGAGGAGAGUGGAAUUCCACGUGUAGCGGUGAAAUGCGUAGAGAUGUGGAGGAACACCAGUGGCGAAGGCGACUCUCUGGUCUGUAACUGACGCUGAGGAGCGAAAGCGUGGGGAGCGAACAGGAUUAGAUACCCCAGUAGUCCCUGUCUCUUAUAC